UCCGGCUUAUCACCGGCAGUCCCCCUAGAGUGCCCAACUAAAUGAUGGCAACUAAGGGCGAGGGUUGCGCUCGUUGCGGGACUUAACCCAACAUCUCACGACACGAGCUGACGACAGCCAUGCAGCACCUGAACCUAGGUUCCCUUGCGGGCACUCCCUCGUCUCUGAAGGAUUCCUAGUUUUUCUAGCCCGGGUAAGGUUCUGCGCGUUGCGUCGAAUUAAACCACAUGCUCCACCGCUUGUGCGGGUCCCCGUCAAUUCCUUUGAGUUUUAAUCUUGCGACCGUACUCCCCAGGCGGAAUGCUUAAUGCGUUAGCUGCGCCACCGAAGAGCAUGCUCUCCAACGGCUGGCAUUCAUCGUCUACGGCGUGGACUAC
rnacentral:misc_RNA from 1 species